UGCAUCAGCUCCUGCUGUCUGA
rnacentral:misc_RNA from 1 species